rnacentral:lncRNA from 1 species
AUCACCACGAUGACUUACAAAUAACUCACUGUACUUUGGUAACAGACUAUCUAAAUUUAUAAUUCAGUAACAGAAGAUUUCUGGAUGGAGUCAAAUACUUAUCAAGUCAGUGCAUGAGUCAAGAUAGGAUUGAUCCUUUCGAAUUAGUAGGAGUUAAUGUAUCAAUGUAUUUCAAUUUAGCAAAAUCUGAGCUUGGAUAAUUCAUGAGAUAGAUUUGAAAGAUUGA